rnacentral:rRNA from 1 species
UAGUCCACGCCGUAAACGAUGGACACUAGAUGUCGGAGGCUCUUGUCCUUUCGGUGUCGCAGCUAACGCGUUAAGUGUCCCGCCUGUGGAGUACGACCGCAAGGUUAAAACAUAAAGAAAUUGACGGGGGCCCGCACAAGCGGUGGAGUAUGUGGUUUAAUUCGAUGCAACGCGAAGAACCUUACCUGGGUUUGACAUCCCGUGCUACCCUAUGAAAGUAGGGGUUUCUUCGGAACACGGUGCAAGGUGCUGCAUGGUUGUCGUCAGCUCGUGCCGUGAGGUGUUGGGUUAAGUCCCGCAACGAGCGCAACCCCUAUCUCUAGUUGCCAUCAGGUAAUGCUGGGAACUCUAGAGAGACUGCCUACGCAAGUAGUGAGGAAGGCGGGGAUGAUGUCAAAUCAUCAUGGCCCUUAUGGCCAGGGCUACACACGUGCUACAAUGGUAUCGACAAAGGGUCGCAACAUGGUGACAUGAAGCCAAUCCCAAAAACGAUAUCUCAGUUCGG